GGCUGCCUCUCUGAUCCGUAACCAGGGGCGUCACACUGUCGGGGUUCAGGACAGCCACUGCAGAACCCAUUAAAUGUGGCAACUUCAUCCCUGUUAAAUCCUGCUGGGCUUCGGGGCUGCUCUGCUGUUCCUCACAUGGCUCUCCAGUUUAUCCUGACUGUCUCCUCCACACAUGCGGGAAGGAGUGUGGAAGGGAAAACGGACUCGUCCAGCUCAUAGAUAGCAUUGCUGUGGGUAUUAAAUAAGGACACAGCAUAAAAUGUAUUUUAUUUCAGGCUCAGAAGAAUCAGGGCCCCAUCCUGCCACCAUCCUUUCCUUUUGGCAGCAUCCUCUUGGCUCAAUAAUCGUCAUCGUCAUUCCCUCACCUGACCCAAGGAAUUCCAGUGGGAAUAGCAGGUGCAUAGCAGGCAAUAACGCCCGACAGUGCUUGGUGUUACCCCCAGAGCCUGGAAUGGGGGAACUGGGGCUGCCAGCUGGGGGGAGACUGGCUCCUGAUCCAGGGCUCCCGCUCCAGGGGUGCUCCCAACCCAUGAGCACGGCUCCAGGCGGCCGGGCUGGGGCUCUGCUCCCGGGCAUUGCUGUGAGGAGCCGCCUCAGCCUGCAGGUGAUGCGGGGUCCAGCUGCCAUCCAGCUGUGGACCUCACAACAUUCCCAUGCUCCUGUUGCUGCUCCAAGUGGCCAGAGAGUUAAUGAAUGGCAAUUCUGAUUAAGCACAGGAGCACCCCGAAAGGAGCUGCUCCUGCAUGACCUCACCCUUUUUCCCCAGCUGGACGCCAGGCAGGAACAUCCUGGAGCGCAGGGCAAUAGCUGUAAUGGCUGUCCUUUGCCAGAUGUGUGACCGAGAGCAGAUGUGACAGAUAAGCCAAGAAGGAGCGCGUGUCAGCUCACCCAAGGGCUGGGAGCGCGGCCCCCGCUCGCUCCCGCACCGCUCCCGACCUGCUUGGAAAGCCAGGCACGCAGGGCUUGCGGGGGGUUGAUAAAUCAGCGGCUCCCUCGCAGCAUGGGGGAUGUUCUGCUGAAAAAAUAAAGCGCCGAAAGAAAGGGUGACCUGACAGAUGCCAGGAGAAGUUACGGAGCCAGGCUGCGGAUGAUGGAUGCUGCGGGUGCGAACAGGAGAUGUGAGACACGACACCGGCUCCGGGAAAGGCAAAGCUGGUGAGGGUUGGUUCCCGAAGGCACAACUGGAGUGCCAAAGACCCCGUGGAAAGGGGACACGCUGCUUCCAGGAGGUGCUCAGAUGAUCUCCAAGGCAUCCCUGAGAAUGACUCCAAGGACUCAGAGCUGCCUACAGACCAGUGGGGAUCCCAGGGCGUCCCCUUAAAACCCAUGGAAAAAACGAGGAAGCAGGCACUGGUGUGUUUGAGAGGUCACUGUUAUACCGGGGGUGAAGAGGGACACUGAGAAGGGGCAGGCGAGCAGUAAAAUUGGGAUGAAAUCCUGCUGUGGGCGUGGAGCCGUGGUGGUGGGAUGUGGGCUGUCCUGACAGGGAUGUUUGUGCCGAUCGGUGCCCAAGUGCACAUGCUGCUCCUACACUCCCAGAGCCCCAAAAUCACACAUUGUCUGGUGGGAAAAUCCCCAAGGGGAGGUCCUGCCCCUGUGCUGAGGGCGCUCAGAGCGAGCCACCAGAGCAGCUCUACCCCGUGUUUCCCUCUUCCCUCCAGUGAAGUUGUUUGGUGCCGGCGUCUCCCAGACUGGAGCGGCUCUCGGGGGAUUGGGGCAGGAGCUGGCACAUGUCACUCGUGCUUUAUGUAAGGUCUGGCUGCCGUUGCUAUUUUUAGGCCCGUUAAUAAAAAGGAUUGUUCAUCAUUAUAGCGGCUUAGCAGGCACAAAUCGCAGCCCCGGCGAAUCUUCGGGGGAAGUGAGGUGAUUCAUCCCACUAAUCCCCGCUGCAAAGUCCCUAAAUCUCAGCUCCAGUAAGUGGGUUGGAGGCUGAGACCUCUGGGUUCCUCUCUCCGCUUGCUUCUUGGGAUGUCAUAUUUCCUGGUUUUGUUCCUAUUUACCCCCCAAAGCCAGACCCUGAGCCCUACAGCUCCACCUAAACCUGAGCAGUCUAAAUAAGCACGGGAAGGGAAAGCUUCUCUUUUCCCUUGGAAUAGAAAAAUAACCAUGAAAAAUGCUUUGUCCUGGAAGCAGCACCAGCAGUGAAUUAUCCCGGCAGCUGGACAGAAAGGGUGGGAGGUGGGAAUGGGGCUCCCUCCUUCCAGGGGAACACGGACAGCCAAGCACGGGCCGGAGCUGGGAUGGCUCAGGGAGGGAGGAAGCACAAGGAACGUGGGGUUACUCUGGAAUGAACAGGCAGGCGAUGGAAUUUGCACAAACACAGCCACUAUCCAGCACUGUGGAAUUUGGAAUCUCAAUGAACGAAGGAAGAUCACGGAAUCACAGAAUCUCCUGAGCUGGAAGGGACCCACAAGGAGCAGCAGAGUCCAGCUCCUGAUUUAUUCUGGGUUCUCAAUCUCCAUCUAUUAUUCCCACCAAAAAAAGAGAUGAGCUCUUCAGUGAGAAAGGCGGAGAGGGACAAGGAGAAUGAAAGUUCUUGGAAUAUUGCGAGUAUGUCAAGCCCACAGGGACCUGAGGAUGUUCCCCUUGGCACCGAGGCAGAUCAGUGAUUAAAUGACUUGAGGUUGUCUCCAAGGCUCUUCUUGGUAGAGAUAUCUGAGUUUUCCGCUCACCUUCCAGCUUCCCAGCAGCAUCUCCUUGCUGUGUCCACAGGGACCCUCCCCAUAGGGAAUGCCAUGGGGGGAAAAUCCACCAGUGUCCCUCGAAUUCCCUUUCUGCCCCACCCACCCAGCAGGGCUGUGGGGUCACUCUCUUGACCUCGGGAAUACAAAGGGAAUUUCUGGGAAAUCCUUUCCUACUGAACCCCAUGGCUGUGGAGAUCUUCCCACUCCAGCCCUGCCCCUCCAUCUUCCUCACGGCGUUCCAGCCAGGAUUAAAUUAGGAUUACAUUUCUCAGCCUCCGAAAAAAGCCCAGGAAAGGAUGAAAUGGGGGAUUAACAGUCUGGGGAAAUCUGCUGGUUGCUCAAAGAUCUUGACCGGGUAAUAUGGAGAUUUUGGGAAAUUAGGAGUUUGAAGUGCUGCUUGCAGCAGCCUGAGCUGGGCUUACAGCUAAACCCCCUAAUCCCUUGGAUUCCCAAGUCCAUGUGAAGAGCUGGAAGGUGCUGCAGGAUUCCUCUUUUUCCCAGAGCUGUGUACUUUUUACGGGAUGCUGUAUUUCCCUGUGUGCUGGCUGUGAGCAGUCAGGGUCUCCUGGUGAGGCUUGGAGCAACCUGGGAUAGUGAAAGGUGUCCCUGCCCAUGGAUGGGGUGGAAUGAGAUGAUCCUUAAAAUCCCCUCAACUUAAACCAUUCUGGGAUUCCGUGGCUCUGUGACCUAAAUCCAUCCCCAAUCCAUGAACUGGUUAAACCCUCCUUUGCCUCAUUACCCGCGGCUGGAAUGUGGCACAUUCCACGAUUCACCACCAUAACAACAAACAACAAUCAACAACAGCAUUCUACUCCCCGAGUUCCACAAAAAGGGGAUUCCUGCCGAUGUCUCGUGGCUGGGAAAUGAGGCAGAAAGUGUUAACAGGAGAGCAGGUCUGAGUCCGGGAGCGGCUCCGCUCCUGCUCGGGAGCGCAGCUGGGAGCCGGCACAGCCAUGCAUCUUUAUUAGCAGCCAUCCCGGGCAGCUGCGCGCCGAGCGGGAAGGACGCGGCAAUUACUCUGCCGUACCUGUCCCAGGGACAGGUGUGCGGUGCCAGCAGUGGUUCUCUGGCUCGCUGCAGCUCCCCGAGAUGGAUGGAAAUCAUUACACUUCCGCCGAGUCAGCACAACAACACUGAUGCCGCAUGAUCCGGCUGGUGGUUUUUCCAGGGGGGAAUACAGACCAGGAGCUUGCUGGAAAACCAAGGGCACUGCUCAAUAAAUCUCUUACUUAAAGAUUUGGGGGAGGGUUUUAUAUUUAAUGACGAUUUUCCAGUCUUUUGUCACCCAGGCCAUCCCAUGCUUAGACGAUGGGACUUUCUCCAACAGGACACGUGGGAAAGUAGAUAGGAAUUAGGAAAAGGUGGGAAUUAAGAAAGAAUGGGUUGCAUUAGGCCAUGGUAGAAACAGCUACGUUUGGAAUUAAAGUGGCAUUAAUUGGGAAUAACUUAAUUUUCUGAGAGUGAAACUGAAUUAAAUCCAUUCCAAAGUGCAGUCGGGAUGUGCUCUAAGAAACACUGUGGCUUGGGAUACGAUCACUUAAUAAACCACAUUCCCUCAA